rnacentral:rRNA from 1 species
UACGAGAGGCCCAAACGUUAUUCGGAAUUACUGGGCUUAAAGAGUUCGUAGGCGGCGCAGAAAGUAGGGUGUGAAAGCCCUCGGCUCAACCGAGGAAUUGCGCUCUAAACUACUGUGCUUGAGGGACCUAGAGGUGAGCGGAACUGAUGGUGGAGCGGUGAAAUGCGUUGAUAUCAUCAGGAACACCAGUGGCGAAGGCGGCUCACUGGCCCGGAACUGACGC